GGGAACUACGAGCCAAGCUUAAAACCCAAAGGACUUGACGGUACCCCAUAUCCCCCUAGAGGAGCCUGUCCUAUAAUCGAUAACCCCCGUUUUACCUCACCAUUUCUAGCAACUCAGCCUGUAUACCUCCGUCGUCAGCUUACCCCGUGAGCGCUAGUGAGCUCAAUGUUUUUUCAACUAAACGUCAGGUCAAGGUGCAACAUAUGAAGUGGGAAGAGAUGGGCUACACUUUCUAAAAUAGAUCACACGGAAGACUAACUAUGAAAUCUAGUCAGAAG
rnacentral:rRNA from 1 species